rnacentral:rRNA from 1 species
GAUGAACGCUGGCGGCGUGCCUAAUACAUGCAAGUCGAGCGAAUGGAUUAAGAGCUUGCUCUUAUGAAGUUAGCGGCGGACGGGUGAGUAACACGUGGGUAACCUGCCCAUAAGACUGGGAUAACUCCGGGAAACCGGGGCUAAUACCGGAUAACAUUUUGAACCGCAUGGUUCGAAAUUGAAAGGCGGCUUCGGCUGUCACUUAUGGAUGGACCCGCGUCGCAUUAGCUAGUUGGUGAGGUAACGGCUCACCAAGGCAACGAUGCGUAGCCGACCUGAGAGGGUGAUCGGCCACACUGAGACUGAGACACGGCCCAGACUCCUACGGGAGGCAGCAGUAGGGAAUCUUCCGCAAUGGACGAAAGUCUGACGGAGCAACGCCGCGUGAGUGAUGAAGGCUUUCGGGUCGUAAAACUCUGUUGUUAGGGAAGAACAAGUGCUAGUUGAAUAAGCUGGCACCUUGACGGUACCUAACCAGAAAGCCACGGCUAACUACGUGCCAGCAGCCGCGGUAAUACGUAGGUGGCAAGCGUUAUCCGGAAUUAUUGGGCGUAAAGCGCGCGCAGGUGGUUUCUUAAGUCUGAUGUGAAAGCCCACGGCUCAACCGUGGAGGGUCAUUGGAAACUGGGAGACUUGAGUGCAGAAGAGGAAAGUGGAAUUCCAUGUGUAGCGGUGAAAUGCGUAGAGAUAUGGAGGAACACCAGUGGCGAAGGCGACUUUCUGGUCUGUAACUGACACUGAGGCGCGAAAGCGUGGGGAGCAAACAGGAUUAGAUACCUGGUAGUCCACGCCGUAAACGAUGAGUGCUAAGUGUUAGAGGGUUUCCGCCCUUUAGUGCUGAAGUUAACGCAUUAAGCACUCCGCCUGGGGAGUACGGCCGCAAGGCUGAAACUCAAAGGAAUUGACGGGGGCCCGCACAAGCGGUGGAGCAUGUGGUUUAAUUCGAAGCAACGCGAAGAACCUUACCAGGUCUUGACAUCCUCUGACAACCCUAGAGAUAGGGCUUCUCCUUCGGGAGCAGAGUGACAGGUGGUGCAUGGUUGUCGUCAGCUCGUGUCGUGAGAUGUUGGGUUAAGUCCCGCAACGAGCGCAACCCUUGAUCUUAGUUGCCAUCAUUAAGUUGGGCACUCUAAGGUGACUGCCGGUGACAAACCGGAGGAAGGUGGGGAUGACGUCAAAUCAUCAUGCCCCUUAUGACCUGGGCUACACACGUGCUACAAUGGACGGUACAAAGAGCUGCAAGACCGCGAGGUGGAGCUAAUCUCAUAAAACCGUUCUCAGUUCGGAUUGUAGGCUGCAACUCGCCUACAUGAAGCUGGAAUCGCUAGUAAUCGCGGAUCAGCAUGCCGCGGUGAAUACGUUCCCGGGCCUUGUACACACCGCCCGUCACACCACGAGAGUUUGUAACACCCGAAGUCGGUGGGGUAACCUUUUGGAGCCAGCCGCCUAAGGUGGGACAGAUGAUUGGGGUG